UGCGAGAGUGAUGAGUUGCACAUCAGGUGGCGCUGAAGUGUCAGGUGACAUAAGCGUCACUCAUAACCUCCCUGAUGACACCACCAAGUGCACAGGGGCCAUCUGACUCGCU